UACCCUAAGUCAAGUGAGAUUACUCAUUGAGUUUAAGCAUAUCACUAAGUGGAGGAAAAGAAACUUACUAGGAUUCCCCUAGUAAUGGCAAAUGAGCUAGGAAAAACCCAUCUUGAGAAUUGGGUGCCCUUGAUGUCUGAAUUGUAGUUUGGAGAAGUGUCCUCAAUGAUGAUUGGGCCUAAGUCCCCUAAAAAGGGGUGACAAAGAGGGUGAGAGCCCCAUUAUGCCUGAACCCUGUUGCACCAUGAGGCAUUCUCUCCAAGUCAUGUUGUUUAGGAAUAUAGCCCUAAUUGAGUGGUAAAUUUCAUCCAAGGCUAAAUACGAGUGAGAGAUUGAUAGUAAAAAAGUACUACAAAGGAAAGAUGAAAAGUACUUUGAAUACAGAGUCAAAGAGUACUUAAAAUUAUCGAGAGGGAAGCAAAUGAGGGUUGACAAUGCACCCCGAUCAAAUAUGGAACAGUAAAAGUUGAUCCAAUGAUUGGCUCGAGAUGUGGAUUGACACUGAUCACAGCAGUGGCCCAAGCUUAGUCUUUUAAUAUGCUUGUGGAGACGUUGUCGAUUUUGGAUCAUAGCAUACACCAUCUUAGCAUGCCUCGACAUCCGUAUGCUCUCACCAUCAACCUGUGGGCUCUCAUUUGGCUUGUCUUAAAAUAGAGACUAAGGAGUCUGACAUGUGUGUGAGUCAACAGGCUAGAAAACCCAUAGGGCACAAGGAAGCUGAUUGGUAAGACCCUUCACAAGUACACUACCAAGAGACCUUGAUCUUCUGAUAAGGGUUCGAGUGUGUGCAUACUUAUCAAGACUCAAAAUAUGGUGAACUAUGCUUGAGCAAGGUGAAGCUAAAAAAAACUUUGGUAGAGGCUCAUAGCUAUAUUGACAUGCAAAUAGUUCAUCUGACAUAGGUAUAAGAGCAAAAGACUAAUAGAACCAUCCAGUAGCUAGUUUCAGUUUAAGUUUCCUUCAAGAUAGCUAGAGCCCUUAACGAGUUCUAUCGAGUAAAGCCAAUGAUUAGAGGCAUCAAAAGAGCAAACCUUCGACCUAUUCCCAAACUUUAAAUAGGUAGAACAAUGUGACUGCUUAAUUGAGCCAUGCCACAAAAUCAAAAGCUCAAAAUGGGCCAUUUUGGUAAGCUGAACUAGCAAUGUAGGAUAAACCAGAAGCCAAGUUACAGUGUCCAACUAUGUGCUAACCUAGAACCUACAAAGGGUGUUUGUCAAUUAAGACAGCAAGAUGGCGGUUAUGCAAGUCAAAAUCCACUAAGGAAUGUGUAAUAACUCAUUUGUUGAAUUAACUAGCCAAAAAAUUGGGUGGUGCUUAAGCACGUAACCUAUACCCGAUAGUUAAAACAAAGGUUAAGCCUUAAUAAGUAAAAGGGUAAAACGAUCACUACAAAAAUUGAAGAGUAAGCUUGGGUAAAGCAGCUGUCAGUGCAAAUCUUGCUGGUAGUAGUAAAUAUUCAAAUGAGAACUUUAAAGGCUAAAGAAGGGAAAGGUUCCACGUGAACAACACUUGCACAUAGUUUAGUGGACCUUAAAAGAUGGGGAAAGCCCAUCUAAUAGUGCGUUCAAUGCGAGCUUCGAAAGGGAAUCAGGUUAAAAUUCUUGAAUCAAGGCUAUCAAUUGAUGACAAUGUUAGGGCAUCUAAAGAUGUUGGCUAAGGCAUUAAGAAAAGUUAUCUUUUUUGUUUAAUUACUUGCCUACCUUAAAAAUAGCUUAAUAAGAGGUAGGGUUCAGCAAGCAAAAGAGCACCGUAUGUCAUGUGGUGUCUAAUGUGCCCUUAAUGGCCCUUAAAAAUCUAAAGGAUUGAGUGUUGUCCGUACCCAAUCCAUAACUUGGUCAAUGGAACAAUGUAAGCCCUUGAAAAUUUGGCAUACUCAUAAUUGCAUUCGGUCUCCAAGGUGAACAGCCUCUGGUUGAUGGAACAAUAUAGGCAUCGAAAGUUGGAAAAAUGGUUCAUAACCUCAAGAAAAAUAUUGGCUUUGAGGGCUGGGCAUAAGGGUCCCAUUUUUGAACCCAUCGACUACAGUGCACUACUCGAGCUACUACUGUGGCCAAAGUAAGUCAUAGCAUGCUAGUCAGGGGAUGGACUAGGAACAGCUCCCUGAAUGGCCUUCCUUGUAUGGUGAACAGUUAACUCAGAACUAGUAUAAACAAAGGGAAUUUGACUGUUUAAUUAAAAUAAAGCAUUACAAUGGUCCUUGUGAAUUCUCACUCAAUGUGAUUUCUACUUUGUACUCUAAAUGUCAAAGUGAAGAAAUUCAACCAAGCGCAAUUAAAUGACAAGAGUAACUAUAACUCUCUUAAGGUAGCCAAAUACCUUGUCAUCUAGUUAGUGACAUGCAUGAAUGGAUUAAUGAGAUUCCCACUAUCCCUAUCUACUAUUUGGUGAAACCAUAACCAAGGGAACUAGCUUGGUAGAAUCGAUGGGGAAAAAAGACCCUAUUGAGCUUGACUCUAGUUUGACUUUGUGCAAUGACUUGAAAGGUGUAGGAAAAGUGGGAGCGUUUUAGUGAAACUGAAAUACCACUACUUUUAAUGUUAUUUUACUUAUUUCAUGAAUUAGAGUUGGGGCACAACUGAUGUCAGGAAUCGAUGGUUGAGAUGUCGAAGAGUAAUUGUAAAUAAAAAAACUCACAAAGAAAACAACUCAUAAAAAUUUGAAUAAUGGAAGAAUAUGGUUAUUAGAUUAAAAGCGAUAGAAGUUCCUCACCAAGGCUAAACACUAAGGGAUAUAGAAACACUACUUGAAGAAUUCAAAUUAAGGAUAUAGAACUAUAGAAGUUCACGAUUCCAGGAAAUCGACCUAAGAGAUAUAGAACUUGAGAACAAUCUCAAAGAUUGCUUAAGGAUAAAACAAACUCUAUUUUGCCUUCUAUGAAGAAUAACAAAAAAAGAGGCUAGGAACAUCCCUCCAAGCAUGUGUGCUUUAAAAGAUUACCUUUUAUUUUGGAUUGCUAAAUUGAUGGGA
rnacentral:rRNA from 1 species